CCAUGGCCAGAUCUGCAUGUGAGAGGCAUGGAUGCAACCUUCUUGCCAUUUGGAGAUGAAAAAAGUUGCUUCCCAUCACCACUGCAACCUGGGAAUCUAGCCAAUGUGGACAGAUUGCUCAAUGAGGAAUACAGAAGACAACAUCCCAUUUGUCCAGCUAAUGCUGAUAUCCUUUUCUCAGUAGUAAACGAUGGCUGAUAUCACAGCAGAAGGCAGAAAUUCCAUAUGAGGUUGAAUUUUAUGGCUUCACAACAUUUUCCUUUGGGGUUUCUUCUUUCAUGGUGGCACCACAACACUGACCGAGUCUU